rnacentral:rRNA from 1 species
CCUACGGGAGGCAGCAGUGAGGAAUAUUGGUCAAUGGGCGCGAGCCUGAACCAGCCAAGUCGCGUGAGGGAUGACGGUCCUACGGAUUGUAAACCUCUUUUGCCGGGGAGCAAGCGUGCGUUCGUGAACGCGCGUCGAGAGUACCCGGAGAAAAAGCAUCGGCUAACUCCGUGCCAGCAGCCGCGGUAAUACGGAGGAUGCGAGCGUUAUCCGGAUUUAUUGGGUGUAAAGGGAGCGCAGGCGGCACGGCAAGCCUGAUGUGAAAGCCCGCGGCCCAACCGCGGGACUGCAUUGGGAACUACCGGGCUGGAGUGCCGGAGAGGUAGGCGGAAUUCCUAGUGUAGCGGUGAAAUGCGUAGAUAUUAGGAGGAACACCAGUGGCGAAGGCGGCCUACUGGACGGUGACUGACGCUGAGGCUCGAAAGCGUGGGGAGCAAACAGGAUUAGAUACCCCUGUAGUC